AACGAACGCUGGCGGCAGGCCUAACACAUGCAAGUCGAGCGAAGCCUUCGGGCUUAGCGGCGGACGGGUGAGUAACGCGUGGGAACGUGCCCUUUGCUACGGAAUAGCCCCGGGAAACUGGGAGUAAUACCGUAUGUGCCCUUCGGGGGAAAGAUUUAUCGGCAAAGGAUCGGCCCGCGUUGGAUUAGGUAGUUGGGGGGGUAAUGGCCUACCAAGCCGACGAUCCAUAGCUGGUUUGAGAGGAUGAUCAGCCACACUGGGACUGAGACACGGCCCAGACUCCUACGGGAGGCAGCAGUGGGGAAUCUUAGACAAUGGGGGAAACUCUGAUCUAGCCAUGCCGCGUGAUCGAUGAAGGCCUUAGGGUUGUAAAGAUCUUUCAGUGGGGAAGAUAAUGACUGUACCACAGAAGAAGCCCCGGCUAACUCCGUGCCAGCCGCCGCAGUAACAC
rnacentral:rRNA from 1 species